AGAUGUGAGGGCAAUCUGGCUGCAACAUCUGUCACCCAUUGAUUGCCAGGGUUCAUUUGGCUGAUCUGGCUGGCUAGGGGGGUGUCCCCUUCCUCCCUCACUGCCCCAUGGGUGUCCCUCCCUAAGUUGUGUGCUCGGUCGAAGAGGACGACCUUCCCAGAAUAGAGGAGGUUCGGUCUUUAGUCAAGGGUAUACAAGCAGCUGCACUCCCCUGCUUGAACUUCCAAACAAGCUCUCAAGUGACAGUGAUGAGACUCAACCCUCUUCAAAGUGAUGAGGAGAUGUGAGAGUGUCAAAAGAACUUACAACAUCAGGUGGCUCUAGUUGCAUGGACUAAUAUC
rnacentral:snRNA from 1 species